UACGAAGGGGGCUAGCGUUGUUCGGAAUCACUGGGCGUAAAGGGCGCGUAGGUGGCGCGCUAAGUCAGGUGUGAAAGUUCGGAGCUUAACUCCGAAACUGCAUUUGAUACUGGCAUGCUUGAGGACUGGAGAGGAGACUGGAAUUCACGGUGUAGCAGUGAAAUGCGUAGAGAUCGUGAGGAAGACCAGUGGCGAAGGCGGGUCUCUGGACAGUUCCUGACACUGAGGCACGAAGGCCAGGGGAGCAAACGGG
rnacentral:rRNA from 1 species